rnacentral:rRNA from 1 species
CCUUGCCAGCCCGCUCAGAAACUUAAAGGAAUUGACGGGACCCGCACAAGCGGUGGAUCAUGUUGUUUAAUUCGAUGAUACGCGAAGAACCUUACCAGGUCUUGACAUCCCCCGCGAUGCUUUAGAGAUAAAGCGGAGGUAUUCGGGGAGACAGGUGGUGCAUGGUUGUCGUCAGCUCGUGUCGUGAGAUGUUGGGUUAAGUCCCGCAACGAGCGCAACCCUUGUGUUUUAGUUGCAAACAGGUCAAGCUGUGCACUCUAGACAGACUGCCGUGGACAACACGGAGGAAGGUGGGGAUGACGUCAAAUCAUCAUGCCCCUUAUGAUCUGGGCUACACACGUGCUACAAUGGCCGGUACAACGGGCAGCGAAGGAGCGAUCCGGAGCGAAUCCUAAAAAGCCGGUCCCAGUUCGGAUUGCAGGCUGAAACUCGCCUACAUGAAGUUGGAGUUGCUAGUAAUCGCGAAUCAGAAUGUCGCGGUGAAUGCGUUCCCGGGUCUU